rnacentral:tRNA from 1 species
AGGAUAAUAGUUAAAAUAUUAUAACAUUUGAAUUGCAAUCAAAAAUUAUUAAAUAAUUAAUUUAUCUU